AUGUAAUGUAAUUCCUACAACACUAAUGCAUUGGAUCCCAUUAUAGCUCCACAAUUAAGUGCGCUUGGGAUAUAGUAGUACUGGGAUGGGUGACCUCCCAGGAAAUCCUAGUGUUUUACAUG
rnacentral:rRNA from 1 species